GAUGAGAACGUAGCGAAAUGCGAUACGUAAUGUGAAUUGCAGAAUUCAGUGAAUCAUCGAAUCCUUGAACGCACAUUGCGCCCGCCAGCACUCUGGCGGGCAUGCCUGUUCGAGCGUCAUUUCAACCAUCAAGCCCCAGGCUUGCGUUGGAGCCCUGCGGCUGCCGCAGCCUCCUAAAAGCAGUGGCGGGCUCGCUAUCACACCGAGUGCAGUAGAUUACUCUUCGCUCAGGGCGUGCAGCGGGUUCCGGCCGUGAAACCCCCUACUUUUAAAGGUUGACCUCGGAUCAGGUAGGAAUACCCGCUGAACUUAAGCAUAUCAAUAAGCGGAGGA
rnacentral:misc_RNA from 1 species